rnacentral:rRNA from 1 species
AUUGAACGCUGGCGGCAGGCCUAACACAUGCAAGUCGAACGAGUGGCGGACGGGUGAGUAAUGUCUGGGAAACUGCCUGAUGGAGGGGGAUAACUACUGGAAAAGGUAGCUAAUACCGCAUAACUACAGAUGGGCCCAGAUGGGAUUAGCUUGUUGGUGGGGUAACGGCUCACCAAGGCGACGAUCCCUAGCUGGUCUGAGAGGGUAACCAGCCACACUGGGACUGAGACACGGUCCAGACUCCUACGGGAGGCAGCAGUGGGGAAUAUUGCGCAAUGGGCGCAAGCCUGAUGCAGCCAUGCCGCGUGUAUGAAGAAGGCCUUCGGGUUGUAAAGUCCUUUCAGCGGGGAAGCGUUACCCGCAGAAGAAGCACCGGCUAACUCCGUGCCAGCAGCCGCGGUAAUUC